rnacentral:lncRNA from 1 species
GAAAUCAACGUCCAUACUGCAUAAACUUUUAAAGAAAAACCAAGAAAGAUUAUGGUAUGCACAAAAAUAAACCGAUUUACGUGUGCAGAAGCAAUCUAACUAAGAAAUCAUAUAUGCGGAGUUACUUACAGAAUACUGAAGCUGCAAACCAUUCGUUGAUGAUUUUUACUAUAUCCUAGUCCAUCUGACAUCGAUGCUCCACCUGAAUGUUUUUCCAGAGUGUUAAUUAAAUAUAUCGAAAUCAUACAAAACGGAGAUUUCCCAAAUAAAAUCAUCUGUGAAUGAUAGAUGAUUCCUUACUUCUUAGCUGAGUUAUUGAGGUUCCAACUUGAUAGCGAUUUUACCACUUGUAAAACAAAGGGUUAAACCAUAGAAAAUUCUUGCAAGAGAACAAGUGUUUGUAGUAUAGAAUGGCUCAAGCAAGGUCGAUCUCCUCAGGGACUGAUAUAAACAAUUUACGAGUUUUUGUGUAUUUAACUUAUUUAACUCUAAGAAUUACACUAAUUUGACGAAACUAAAUAUUACUAGAUGUGACUUAAACAAAUAUCUAAAAUGGGAAUUGGUUUAUAAGGAUAAUGAUUCAACUUAAACAAAACAAGUAAAUAAGGAAAUUUAAGAUAAAAUAAAUUAUUGAAGAAAAAUAGAUAGACAAUAUGCUAGAGUUCAACCUUUACCAACAACAUUCUUACGUAGCUAUUCCAAUUGCUUAAAUAAUUGAAAACACACAUGCUUUGAAGGUUGGAUUUUCCUUGUGUAUGUUUUACUUGUGACAUUCAAGCUAAAACGCAUACCACUACAUGCAACUUAUCCAUGACAUUUGGAUUAAAUAUAAACAUGAGUGAUUCAUUAAUCUUGGUGAAAAUCCUUUUGUUAAACUAUAUAAUCCCUAAGAGCAUGAUAUUUACCUUAGGAGAGUACAAUUCUCAAUCACAAGAAGCACAACCAAUUUUAACGUGACAUUCGUUCAAAAUUGCAUCCGAUAACUUUUCUAAGCAUCCUAAUGGUGAUCAAGCAUCAAGGUACAUAGAUAGUUUAAUUCAGUGAUUGAAAAUAUCGAAGCAAGCAUGUAACAACACUUAAGCAAUUGGAAAAUAAAACUACGUAUUCAUGUUGCGGCUCAUGGCCUCACUCUAGCAUAAUAAAUUAGUUACACAUAAUUAAUUUGAUACAUAAGAAAUUAAGGAAAACUAAUGAAAAGGGCUUCAAUAUUUUAAAUUUUAACCAAAAACCAGGUAAUAGUUUUAUUUAAUGGUUAGGACAAAACCUAAUGUCAAACCAGCCCAUUAAGAUUGGCCCAAACAAAAUAAUUUAUCGAACUACCGGUUUUACCCCCUAACAUCAGUCUUGCUCCAACGUUAGGUUUGACGAAUGUCGUUGCUAAGCUCUGCGCGACUGCGCCCAUGGAGGUCGUUUCCAUACUAUGCCCAUUCAAAAGAAGUAUGUAAUGGAUAUACAUCUGAUCCUCCAUUUCAAAUUUCUCCAAGUACUCCCGUACAAAUUGAUCCAAUUGCUAUCUAUUUUCACACUCGACAACCUAAUUCCCGUGCACCCCCCUCUCCCUCUCUCUCCGCUCACCUUCUUCCCUCUCUAAAAUCCCCAAUUCCAAGUCCUAUUCCGAUCGAAGCCUCAUCAAUCAACAAAAAGGUACUAAAAAUUCUCAAACCGUUGCUAAAUUAGGAUUGAUAUUAUGUAAUUCUUCUUCCUCUUUGUUUUUUUUUUUUCGAUUUUUCAAGAAUUAUUCUGUAAAAACAUUUUCCAUUUUAGUUGAUAUUAUGUAAUCCAACUAAAUUAGGAUACUAAAUAUGUUCCAUAUGUUCCAUCUUCGUGUAAAAACCUGUUCCAUCUUCGUGUUCAUGGAUACUAAAUCUGUUUUUGUAUUAGUGGAGUGUUUCACGAAUAAAAAUGGGGAAGCUGAGUUAUAUCAAGUAUCACAACCCAACGGCGGUGGUGAUUGUGGCAAGCAUGGUGAUCAAGACAAGGGUAGAUACAGUUGGAUUUUUCCCCUCAGGUCGUGUCUUGUUAAGUCAUUGGUUCAAGGGGAAGUUUAUAUAUGUUGUUGCCUGUAUGGGAAAGCGAUUUGGGAAUAGGCACCUCCACCAAGUGGUUGUCUAUGGGACGUACUUUUGACCUUCAUCACAAGUUAACAGGUAAAUUCAAGGCCCCCGAUUCACUGGAACCAUGUGGAGCUCUCAUUUCUGCCUAUGACAACCGUUAUUACCUACCUUGCACAGCCAAGGGUCCAUGGGGAGCUGUCGAGCCCCUUUCAGUGUUAUCAUCUUGGUUCUGACACUUGGAAAGAUCUGCCAAGAAUUCCCCCCGAUCUUCGUCAUAAUCUACAUGACAUUGUAGCUGGUUAUGCAGUCUGCAAUGAUCAUAUUUUGGUUUCGAUUAGCAACAGAUUAUUUGCCUAUCAUGUGCAUGAGAAAAAGUGGCAUUGUGUAUCUAAACCCAACAGGUUUUUUGGUAUUUCCGGUAGGGCAGUGGUUUUAGGCGACUAUAUCUAUUAUGUAGAUUCAAUGUCUGGUCUGGUUUGCGAAAUUACAUUUGACUGCACUGACUAUAAUCUGAGCACACAUGUGUUUUUGGAAGGUUUGACAUCUUUUUGUGAAUGAAAAUCAUGGAUUUGUGCAUGAAAAUUUAUGUGGUGUUAUUGUUGUAUCUGUAGGUGCCCUGUAAUUGUGUUUUUGUUUUAUGCAUGUUCAGUUUAAGAAAUAGUGAUAGUACUCGUGCUCAGUUCUAGGUUCAGUUUAAGAAAUAUAGUAAUAAUAUAAUGUUCAGUUUAAGAAUAGUAUAUCUGAGAACCCUCUCAAUGAUGCAUGCGCACAUUUUAUCUUUUAACUAUCUUGGAAAAUUGCAAGGGUGAAGUGCUUUCCUUGUAGCUCAAUUCAUCUCAACUUUGGUUUUUGUUCCUUGUCAAUUAUUCUUAGUAUUAUGUUUUCGUUUUGUAAAUUUUCUUUUCAUAUUGCCACUGUUUCGGUGGUCUCUUCUUUGCAGCCCUUUACAGCUUGAGUAUGGAGUGCUUCCGUAUCACAAGUUGAAUUGUUCGUUGCUUCCUAAUCUCUGUUUUCAUUUUCAAUUCCAUUCGAAUUCACCAUUUUUUCGAAUCACCAUAUUAAGAGUCUUUGAUUCACUAGUACUAUCACUGUUUCGUAAACUAAACACUGACUAUUUCUUAAACUGAACUAGUACUAUCACUGUUUCGUAAACUAAACACUGACUAUUUCUUAAACGGAACACUAGUACUAUCAUUGUUUCGUAAACUAAACACUGACUAUUUAUCAAACGAACACUAUUUAUCAAUCGAACAAUAGUACUAUCACUGUUUCGUAAACUAAACAUUGACUAAUUCUUAAACAGAACACUAGUACUAUCACUGUUUCGUAAACUAAACAUUGACUAUUUAUCAAACGAACACUAGUACUAUCACUGUUUCGUAAAUUAAACACUGACUAUUUAUUAAACGGAACACUAGUACUAUCACUGUUUCGUAAAUAAAACACUGAUUAUUUCUCAAACGGAACACUAGUACUAUUAUUGUUUUGUAAACUAAACACUGACUAUUUCUUAAACGGAACACUAGUACUAUCAUUGUUUCGUAAACUAAACAUUGACUAUUAAUCAAACGAACAAUAGUACUAUCACUGUUUCGUAAACUAAAAACUGACUAUUUCUUAAACGGAACAAUAGUACUAUUACUAUUUCGUAAGCUAAACACUGACUAUUUAUCAAACAAACAACAGUACUAUCACUGUUUCGUAAACUAAACACUGACUAUUUCUUAAACGGAACACUAGUACUAUCACUGUUUCAUAAACUAAACAUUGAUUAUUUAUCAAAUGAACACUUGUACUAUCACUGUUUUGUAAACUAAACACUAACUAUUUAUCAAACGGAACACUACUACUAUCACUGUUUCGUAAACUAAACAUUGACUAUUUAUUAAACGGAACACUAGUACUAUCACUCUAACACUGACUAUUUAUUAAACAGAACACUAGUACUAUCACUGUUUCGUAAAACUAAACACUGAUUAUUUCUCAAACGAAACACUACACACACACACACACACACACACAUGAGUUCAAUUUUAUAAUGAGAUAGAUCCAAGGCAAUUGCAUGAGACUUCCAAACAUAAUUCAGACCAAACAUAAUCAUAAACUAGUUUCCAAACAUAAUUCAGACCAAACAUAAUCAAAAAAAAAAAAAAAAACAUAAUCAUAAACGUUGAUGUGAGUCUCGCACUUUAAGUUUCAUUGAUCCAAGAAAUCUUCCCUUAACCUUCAUUAUUUUGUAGUGAUUUGUGUAGAAGUUUGGAUUAUACAAGUGAAUGUGCAAUGUGAUACACUCGGUGAAAUUAUGUCAUUUUCCAAUCUAAAGUUCAUUAUUGUGUAGUGAUUUGUGGAAUUUAAAUUUUUUUUAAUUUAUUUGAUGAGAGGCGAGGUGAGGAAUUGGAGAUACUUAAUUAUGUUGGGGGUUAAUUGGUAUUGACUGGCAAAAGUUUUUUUUUAUUUUUUUAUUUUUGACGAAUCCUUUAGAAAAUUGCAUAUUUGUAAAUAAAUGAAAGUUUAAUUCUAACAAAAGUGGGCUGACAGAAGGCAGGGGCAUGGAUGCAAAAUGAAUUUCUUAUUUUGCACGUGAGGCUUCCUUGUUUUGGUUGUUCUUUCUAGUUUUUGUCAUUUUUCAUUAAAGUUUAAGUCAUUUUUAUUAAAUAAAGUUAGUAAAUGAUUUUUGGUUAAUAAAAUGUUUGAAAAAACCUUUUUCAUUAAAACUCGGGUCUAAGGUGAAUAAAUAUUUGGAAUAAACAACAUGACAAUUUUUAUUCCUAAAGAAUGUUAAACACGACCUGUAAAUAAAAAAAGUUAAUUGCAGAUCUAUGGUAGUUAUGAUCUAGUGAAUGAUUAUUUUGUUCUAGCUAUUCUCGAGUAACAAAAGUGGGUUGCCAGCUUUGGAGCAAAUGUUAAAAUAAAUUAUCAAAUUGGGAAUAAAAAUUGUCAUGAUAUGGGUUUUCAAUUGGUGGAAUGAUUGCAACCGUUUCGGGAAAAAAAAAAAGUUGAAAAUGAAUUAGUUUUUGUUUUAUUUGACUUUUGGGCUCGAUGGCAAUUUCGUAAAUAAUAUGAAGUUAUAUUAACAGAUUUUGGUUAACAUCUGUUAGGGACAAAGCUGGAAGAAAAAUUUGAUGUUGCAUGCUGGGCUUUGCUUCAGCCCGUGGGACUUUUGUUUUUUUUUUGGCCUAUUGUAUGUUACUUGUGUCAUUUUCAUUAAAUGUCAAGCCAUUUUCAUUAAAUAAAAGUUGUUAAUGGUUUUUUAUUAAGAAAAAGUUGCCCCAAGCCCUUUUCAUUAAAACUCCCAAGAAAUUAUUCAUAACAGAAAAUAAAUAACUAAGAAAGAAGACACCCGUUUCUUUUCUCCCGUCGCAAGUCUAUGUGAAAUUUUUGGUGUGCACUGCCUUCUCCUGCUCCUGACUUCCUCUUUCCUCUGCGCCUGGUUCUCUGUCCGUGUCUCUCUCCUCUGCUUCUGCGCCUCCUGCGCACUGUCCUUUGUUCUCUGCACCUGGCGCACCCCUUCUCCGUCUCUCCCUCUUUCUUUUAUUCUUCUCUCAGUCAGUCCCCCCACUUCUUUCUUUUAUUUUAUUUUUUUCUCUGUUCUUGCCUUGAGUCAGCUCGUGUCUGCCUUGCCUUUUUGCUGCGUCCAUCCACGUGUCCUGCACUCCUCUUUGUGCACUCAGUCUGUCCUCCACUCUCUUUUUAUUCUUCUAUUUUUCUUUGCUUUUAUCCCGCACUCCUCACUCCCUCUCCAGCUUUUUGUUCCACUUCCUUUUCUUAUAUUUUUUUUUCUCUUCUUUUUCUUCCUGCCAGUGCUGCACUCCCCUUUGCUUAUUUUAUUUCUUUUGUUUUCUUUUUUUUUUAUUUCUUUGAUCCUAAAACAAAAUUAACUGUACAUUAACACAAGGUAAGGUAAAAUGCCACAAUUUUAACACAAAAACAUCACAAAGACUUUAGAAAUGGAUGGUAUAAAUGCAUGAAAUAUAUGAGUGAUCACAACUGCUGAACAACAUUGUAAAAUACAUGCACCCCAAGGAAUAUGUUAGGUAGAAAAAUUCGAACUUUUAAGGGAUGUCGUCAUCCCCUCAAACUUGAUCUUUGCAAAACUAGAUAGCAUGAGAAGUAGGUUUUAGUUUUCUGCUAAAUAACAGGAUUGAAAAUCUUGGUCAUUUUUAAGUUUUAGCUAAGAAACAAUGUCGAAUAUUUCAAACUUUGCUCUCUUUAAUACUUUCUCUGCCAUUUUCUUCGCAACCACAUAAGGUUAGUAUACUUUAUGCUUGCAACACGCAGAGAGAAAGUAUUAACCCGACAUGAUUCUGAAUCUAUUCCAGUUGAAAAAGUCGCCAUGACGAUAGAACAUAUCACAAUCAGGAAACUCUGCACGAAGGACAGCGUAACACAACAUGUUUGUACCAUACUUGACCAAUCCCGAAACUACUGAGCACCGGUCAACGUUAUACCAUCAAGGACCCAGAAGAAUUUCCCUCUAACCAGGAGGCCAAUCACAGCGCGACACAUGUCGACAUCAGAAGCCAAUCAUAGCGCGACACGUGUCAACAUCAGAAGUCAAUCACAACACGAUACGUGUCAAUGUCAGAAUGAAACUAGAAACUCUCUUCUAUAAAUAGAGAUCAUUCUCUCACAAUAUUUCCUAAUGUCAUUUGUACUAAAUCAUUCACUAGUACUCACUAAAGGAGAACUUGAACCUAUGUAAUUGUGUAACCCUUCACAAUUAAUGAGAACUCCUUUACUCCGUGGACGUAGCCAAUCUGGGUGAAUCACGUACAUCUUGUGUUUUCUUUGUAAGACUAAACUUAUCGAAAAUAUAAGUUAAGAGAUUAAGCUCAAGAACCACCAAUUUAUACAAGUAUUAAAAUCACAAUUCGAUAAACACAAUGACAAACUAACCUGUAAAAAUAGUAGUAGAAGAAGUCAAAGCCGACUUCUAAACAGUGCGCCUUCUCCUCUCUUGCAAAACCAAAAGUACUCAAACUAACAAUAGGUCUUAGUUUAAUAUUGAGCGUAUGUUUUGUGAGAGCAGUGGCUUAUGUUUUUAUACUAAACAUAGAUUGCCCUAUUACAAUCCUACAAAAAUACAAGACUAAAUCCUUGUAUAAGUAUGAGUUCUAUUUUCGAGCCAACGGUAGAGUUUCAAUCCAAACCAAAGUUGAAUUAACUCUUAUAAACUCAUUAAGACCUCUUUAUACCAAUCUGAAAUAACAAUGAUUAUUACUAAACUGUGAGAAUCACACUCAUACUCUAACAUUCUCCCACUUGAGUAUGAUUCACAACAGUAAAUAAUCAUCUCAAAUUCAAUAUAAAGGUGAUCGCAUAAGUCAUUCAUCAACACACUAGUACAUAGAUACAACCAGCUUACAUAAACCAAAACAAUGAAUUUAUAAUUACCUCUGCAACACAAAAUACAGAUUUAACUUAUAAAUCACAAUGUCCAGUUCAUGUUCAUAGCAAUGUAUCUAAGCUCAAAAGUAAACCAAGACGUCUACUCCCACUCAUAUAGCCACCAAAUCUUUUGGAUAACAAAAGUUUAACCUCACAUACAACUUACCUAUGCAUUUUAAAGUAUUGAACUUAAGAAUCUUUUCUGUUACAUCGCAGAAUUAACUCAAAAGUCACAACAUACUUAAUUUGCACUUUGUAAUUAUGUGAACCAAUAUAACAAAACCAAACCAAUUUGCUCCCACUUAUCUAGGCCAUACUCAACACAACCAAGUUAAGUACAAGUUAAUAGCAACUAUAUUAACUAAAAUCAUUCCAAUACAACGAAUGACUAAUCAGAAUCCAUAUGGAAACCAAAUUCGUUUCUUUUUGAAUGCUAACAUAAUAUGAUCCUUCUCAUUACUUAAACAAAUUAAGUAACACAAAUAAUUCAACCAAUUGCUUCAAUAAAACCAUAAACUGGUUUUUAAGCAUCCAUAUGAAUUAUAAUGGCCGGCCUAAAUACUCUUAGCCUUAUGCUUACAUUCGAACAUAUGAUUCUCCCACUUAAAGCAUAAGCAGAAUAUACUGCACAGUCGAUAAAGAAAUCGGAGAUAUGAACCAAUUGGUUCCCGAUUCCUUACCUAUUGCAUAAUCUCAGUUUAGUCAUAUAAACCUAAACCAUUAUGCAAAACAGUCUAUGUAUCAAAAGAUAGUCACAAUCCAUUCGGAAAACUUAUCUCACAUAAACCCAAAAUCACCAGUUUCAACAAUGAUCAAAAUUAGAAUAGCAAACACAAUAUUUUUGCAUUCAAUUUGAUCUUAACUAGUUCAAUAUCCAUCGAGCAAGAUCAACCAAAAUUUGAUAAUGUUUGGAUAUAUAUCACAACAAUAUAUCUUAAUUAAAACGAGAUAAUCAAGACCAGUAUUUCUUCUGGAGAACUCGAAGUUCGUCUUCCUCCCUAUUUGUGAUUUCAACCAAAAUAUAAUAGCGGAAGCAUGCAUCAUGAAAUCACAAAUAUACAUAUACAAUAAGCAUGCAUCGAUAUAUACAUGAUAAGAUUAGUCGACAAUAAUCCAAAUUAAAAAUCUUCAUGCCUUUAAUUCAUUGUCAACACCAUCAUCAAUUAUAUACAGAUUCGUACGCAAGUCCUUGGAGAAAAUAAUGAUAGCUACAUAUCAUUAAUCUUAUGAAUUUCCAAUAAGAUGACAAAAUAAUUAUUUGCUUUCCGAUUCAUAAUAGAAUAUAUAUUUUGUAAAUGGCUAAAAGUUUAUUGUCACGAGACUCAUUAUGGCCGGUCAAUAAAACAUCUACCUUAUAUAUUCAUCUGUUCAUAUAUUUUCUUGUAUGCAUGUAUGCAUCAAUAUUCAGAGAAACUUAUGCAAGUUCUAUUUGAUAUAGAUAAAACCGCAUGCCCAUAAUUACAAAGUCUAUGCACGAAUGCUAUCUCCAUAUAUAUACAGAUUUCAUUCAAAUAUGCUAUUAUGUAUAAAUCACAAAGCAAUUGACAUCCACUAUAUAUAUGCAUUUAUUUUGUUGCUUCUCAAUUAAUCAUUAUCACGACAUGGCUAGGAAAACUUAUCUUCAUGUUUUCCCAUGAAAGCAAAACAAAACCAUUUUUGAUGAUUACAUGAGAAUCAUGAAGCCAGAAAAAUAAUUACACGUCUUGCUACCGCAAAAUGGAUGCCAACACAGAAUUUCAGCAACAAAACCAAGCAUUAUUAGGAGGUCAAGUUAGAGAGCAGUGCACCUUAGCGGCCACUUCGAAAGAUUUGCAAUACAUAUACUUUCCCGGCUCCUCAUUUAGUGCCUUCUGGAAGCACUGAGAUGCCAUUUUGAAAUAAACCCUUGCUUCAUUAUCUCGUCAAGUUCUUUAAUCCAAACCCCCAAGCUUUGCAAAUUCCCUAGCAGAUUUGUAUCUGAAUGCAUCAUUGGACCCGUAUUCGACAACCCGAUUGCAAUUCCUCGGCUCCAAAUCAACGAAACAAAUUAUCCAUCAAUGCUCAAGACCCAUCCAUACAGAUUGCCAUCAUUCCCAAUUCCCAUGGACCUCGUACCAUUGCAACAAUAGAUUGAUGAACAAGUUAACGUCAACAUGAAGAACCAUAAUAAUCAUAUAAUCUCAUUAUGCAGAUAACAUGAUCUUUGUUCAAUGGUUCUUAAUAACACAAUUAGCAUAUCAAAAUACAAGUUUAUUCAUUAUGCUAAUAAUACAAGGAGGAUUAAUAUUAAUAAACCAAAAUUAUCUCAAUCUACAAACAUCAUAACCAACUGCACGGAAGCAAUGUAUUCAAAAUUAAAAUUAUGAUGUUUAAAUAGAGAUAUAAUUUACUAAUUUGAUACAUACACCUUCAAUUAUGCAGGGGUGGGAAGAAAAUCUCCAACCCAGAUUGAGAAUCGCAAGUUCUCCCCUUGUUCAGAUUGCUAACGGUCAAAAAUUUGAAAAACAAAACCCUAUUCUUUGUCUUUUAAGUAGCCAACAGGCAUAAAAUUAUACUUAAAAGGGUAUGCUACAAACGAUGUCGUAUUAGUUGUUCUUCGAAAACCAAAUGGACAGACUUGAUAUAAAAGACUUAGUUUGCUAAAACAUUGCAGAUUUUUAAGGGUACAUGUAGCAUGAUUUGUUUUGCAGGGAAGGGUACACAAGUGCAAACGAGGAUUCCAUGGACAUGGAAACAUGCUGCUUCGACAGCUGCACAAACGAUGUACUGCCGCAACGUUUUGAUCCCAAGGACAUGUAUCAGCAAUACAAGAUUAAUCUUCACAAAAACAUUAUAAAUGUGUCGGGUGAUUUUGUGGCCAGAUCAAUGUCCAAAGAUGGGUACCAUCCGGAGAUUUUUAAAAGAGACAAUAUUGACCGACUAAAUAAUUCGGCCCUUACAGCAACCCUAUACGUAUAUCCUGGUAUAUAGCCAAUUUUAAUACUGAAUAACAAAAGGACCCUGUGACAAUUGACUCUUGACUUAUAUUUUCACAAACUUUUAUAUGAGUUUGACUUAUAAUAUAAAAUUCCUACAAGUAAAAACAUCGUCACUUUUAUUCCCUUAAAACCCUAGAAAUUUCUUUGCAAACCAAGGUCAAUUCCGGCUAAACCAUCACGCCUAUUAUUGCUUUGAUUUUAAUACUGUCAAUUUGAAUUCAAGAGCAAAAACCUUAGGCUCUGAUACCACAUGUAAGACUAAACUUAUCAAAAAUAUAAGUUAAGAGAUUAAGCUCAAGAACCACAAAUUUAUACAAGUAUUAAAAUCACAAUUCGAUAAACACAAUGACAAACUAACUUGUAAAAAUAGUAGUAGAAGAAGUCAAAGCCGACUUCUAAACAGUGCGCCUUCUCCUCUCUUGCAAAACCAAAAGUACUCAAACUAACAAUAGGUCUUAGUUUAAUAUUGAGCGUAUGUUUUGUGAGAGCAGUGACUUAUGUUUUUAUACUAAAUAUAGAUUGUCCUAUUACAAUCCUACAAGGAAUACAAGACCAAAUCCUUGUAUAAGUAUGAGUUCUAUUUUCGAGCCAACGGUAGAGUUUCAAUCCAAACCAAAGUUGAAUUAACUCUUAUAAACUCAUUAAGACCUCUUUAUACCAAUCUGAAAUAACAAUGAUUAUUACUAAACUGUGAGAAUCACACUCAUACUCUAACAUGCUUCCUUGUCCCUAUCCAUUUACAUACUUAUCCACACUAGUGACCGGAGCAAUCUAGCGAAGGUCACAAACUUAACACUUUUUGUUGUACCAAAGUCCCCAUUGAUUUUGUGCAUCAACACAACAUAUUACUGCUGUUGAGAUUGAUACUGAGUAAAUUUGGUUCCUGUCAUUGUUAAACUCAUCGGUAGAAUACUAGAAUAUCCAAGCCCUACUUAAUGAUCUACAAAGUGUCGACGUCCUUCUCUAUUUGAUUUUGUUCCUUGCCUUCAGUGGUAGGAAGAUCACCGGAAAUAGGUCCCUUUCAUUAGGCAUUGCCGCAUUGCCAUACUUUACAACAACAGUUAAACACAAGAUUACAAUUUAGAGAUACUCAACAUACACCUGUAGCUAAUACAAUCACAGACACUGUAUAUAUCACAUUCAAAUCCAGACAACAGACCAGACAUCCUCAGUACUUCAAGUGAACGGUAAUCCUCAGCAAUGUUUCUGCACCAUCUGUUGCUCGUUGACCUGGAGGAAUCAGUGGUUUCAACUCUGCAAUUCCAUUGGCAUUCUUGAAUUUGCCUGUCCCUCCAGUCACUGACAGUUGCGACUUGCUACUCCCAAUCUUGUACACUCCGAAGAAGUUGAGGUUAUCAUUGUACUCCCCUCCUUCCAUCAUAGCCGUAAAUGCCAUCAGCUGACUUGAUCCAUCCGCAGAGCUUGCCACAUAGACUCCUUGAGCUUUCCCAAUUGUCUGUGAACCCAAUUCGGGACUAGAGGUCAGUAUGUCAUCAAUAACGGUGACUGUCCCAAAGCCUAGUCCCAACCCGUCUGGUGCCAGUUGGGUAGCUGUAUUGCCAUUCUUUUCACCAUUAGGAUUUCCGGCGAAGGAUGUACCAGAUAAGCCGGUUCCUAGUGGGAGACCAUUGGCGCCAUUCACAGUUGGAAUGGCACCGUUGGCAUUAGGGAUAGCCACACCACCGUCUGGAGGAAGGAACCCUAUCGGCUUUGCAAAGGGCACUUCACUGCUGUAUAUAUUGCCUAGCAAGCCAGUGAUUGGCCUAGCCGUAGGGCUACUCCCUCCAAGAAUGUCAUGCAUGUAUAUUUCCAGAACUGGUUCGCUGCCAACAGCUGCAGGUUCAACUGCAGCCAAAAGUGGUAUUGCUGUCUGCAUGUUUGCAAUCAGCAGUACGGUGAAAUAGACGAAAAUGUCUGCUUUAACAUCCUGAAACUUUGGUAUCUGCUGGAUUAAGGAUCGAACGCUGAAGUUUUCGUGCGGAAGUACGAUGGUUGGCAACAUGUGUUGGUCUUGAUAUAGAGGAGGCUGUCACAUGGAGUGGUUGAGACUGCUCCAAACUCAAGAGGUGAAGUUGUUGGAUUAUUUUAUUGGUACGAAUAAUAUGAAUUUCGGUUACAGGUGAAUUAGUUGUUGUCACAGAUCACAAAGAGAAGUGGGUUUGUUGUAUCAUUGGUUACUCAUAACAUUUCUCUGUACUUAAGGUACCUUUUGGUACGUGGAACGGGACGGAACAGAGUGGGACGAGGUGUUCCAUCCCACAUUUGUUGCUCUUAAAUCGGGUGGAACGCGCUGUUCUAUGGGACAAAUAAUUUGAAUUAUUUGAAUUAUUUUAUUUGUACGAAUAAUUUGAAUUUUUCUUAAAGGUGAAUUAGUUGUGGUCACCGACCACAAAGAGAAGUGGGUUUGUUGUAUCAUUGGUUCCUCAUAACAUUUAUCUGUACUCAAAUGAACUGAUCAUCAUUGCAGAUGACAGUAAUCUCCAAUCUUUUGUGCCAUGAAUUUUCUUGUUCGUUAGAACUGCUUUUUAGACUUGUAAGCUGUAACAAUGGAUAUUUUUCUCGUUUUGGUUUCAAAGAAAAUCUAUUGUUUCGAACUCUGGCUCACAACAACCUUUUUUGCUAUAUUUGGCAAAACCUGUGUGCUGAAAUUUUGGGUUUUUUUGGCUUGCAGAAAAAGAAAUAUUGAGUUUUUUUUUCUUUGUUACAUUUGAGGAAUCGAUUAUUUGACCUAUCUUUAAUUCUAAUAUAUUACUUGAUAGAAUAUAGAAAUUGAUGUAUAGGAUGAUGACAUGUGUAAUUAGAUUAGAAGAUGUGUUAGUUAAGGCAGUUAGCCUUGUUGUUAGAAGUGUAUAAAUAUCUCAACCUCUUGUAUUACUUGGUGAUUAAGAAAUAUAUCAAGAACAUUCAUUCUCUCUCUCUUCUCUCUGAAUUGUUAUCUCUCUCUAGAAUUUCUGUAUACAAUAGAAACAGAAGGGGCUGGACCCCAAAGGUCACUAUGAACUAUAGCAAAGGGUUUUACAGACUUAUUGGGACUUAGAGGAAAAGGAAGUUUACAAAAUUUUCCCUCCAAACAACUAGAACACAUGACAGGUAAGGAUAGUUUGGGACAGGGAAUAUGAGCUUGUUUUAACAUCAAAGAAACAAUAGAAUUGGAUGGAUGGCCUAGUCUAUUGUGCCAAGUAGUAGAGUGAAUGUGCUGAUCGAGAAGAGCUUUAGCUUGGAACGGUACUGAGGUGGAUCCAUGAGAAGUGGUUGAAAGACAGGGAAUUGGGUAUAGACCAUUACUGCAUACUCCUUUGUAAAUGAUCCUCCCUAUGGCCUUGUCCUGAAUCCAGAAGCAAAAAGCAUCAAAAAUUAGCCAGCAAUUGUUAUCCAAACAGAUCCGAUGCACAGAUAAUAAGUUUUGGGUUAACUUCGGAACAUAUAACACAGAAUUGAGCUUCAUUGGAGGAACAUAAUUAACGUUGGAAAGAUUAAGAACAGUACUGCCAAUAUGAGAUACAAGCAAACCUUCACCAUUGGCAGUUUGGACAAUCUCAGAAGUAGGAUAUGGAGAUGCCAGAGAUAAGUUGCUGAGAUCAGAAGUCAUGUGAUUGGUAGCACCAGAGUCAGUGAGCCACACUUGAGGAUUAGAGUGAGAAUGAGAUGCCACGCAAGGAGACUGAGGCAUCACAGUAUGCAUAGCUUGAGGAGAGAAUUGGUGUCCAUUCAUGGCAGAGUGCUGACUAGAAACAUUGUAACCGGGAGCACCAAAGCUUGAGGAAUGCAGCUGAGACGGAUAAAACUGACUGGGAGCACCAAUAAAAUUAGGGCCUUUGUCAUUAUAAAAACAAUACCAUGUGGUGUGAUUGUGCUUGCCACAGAUUUGACAAUUAACUCUGUCAGAAGGUUUAGAACGGCAGAAUGGUGCGGUGUGUCCUUCAGCAUUACAAAGUUGACAGGUUUGCACCAAGGAAACACUUGAAUGGCCAUAAGACUGCACUGGGGAGUGACCAAGGAUGCCCGGAUUCGGUGUUGGUAGCACAUGUGCAGAAUUGGACUGGAUCCAGCAACUCUUAGUAUUCUUGCAGGUUCCUUUAUUCUCUCCACCUGUGUUGUUUUGUGAUAAUCUGUCUGCCAUUGCGUUGUCUUUUAAUCCCGUUCAACAUCAACGCACUAAACACAUUGAGAUUGAUGUUCAUUUUGUGCGGGAACGAGUGGCAAAGAAGCACCUCUCUGUGCAGUUUGUGUCGUCCAAAUAGCAGUUUGCUGACAUUCUGACUAAAGGCUUGAGUUCUCCUUUAUUUCAUAUUCACUGUUCCAAUCUCAUGCUUCGUGCCUCCCAGCCUGAGUUUGCGGGGGGAUGAUAGAAUAUAGAAAUUGAUGUAUAGGAUGAUGACAUGUGUAAUUAGAUUAGAAGAUGUGUUAUUUAAGGCAGUUAGCCUUGUUGUUAGAAGUGUAUAAAUAUCUCAACCUCUUGUAUUACUUGGUGAUUAAGAAAUAUAUCAAGAACAUUCAUUCUCUCUCUCUUCUCUCUGAAUUGUUAUCUCUCUCUAGAAUUUCUGUAUACAAUUUCACAGAUAUAGUUACAUUCACAUUACUCACCAUCUUUCACUAUUUGGGCUAAUCCAAUGACUUACUUAGAUAUUGAAUGAAUAUGACGUCAUAGAUGUAUCUUGAAAACAAAUAAAAAUAUUCAGUGAUUUUUUUUCCGGUUACAUUAGAGUAAGCAAUUGACCAAUCCUAUUCCUAACCUAGUACCCACCAUCCUUCUUCGCCACUUGGGCUAAACCCUGACACAACAAUGUAAUAUUCUAAGCACACACGGAAUGAUAGGGAGUGUAGUUUGAACCGUAAAACCAUUAAGAAUACGAGGAAUAGUCCAAUUCUUUAUAAGCACGUGUGUUAAUCAUGCUUACCAAGCAAAACACAAUCAAGUUGGACAACUACGUCCAGGCCCAGUUAAUUCCAAUGCUAAGACUAAGCCAAUGUAGUGUUGGAUAAUACCAACAAUCAAUGACAAAUAUAUGUAUAUGUAUGUAGAAAUAAAAUUGAAUAAGCUUAUAAACAAAUAAAUGGCAACUAAGUAUAUUGACAAAGUAUAAAUAAAUGAAACUAAUAUUAAAAAGAUAAAGUAAAAAUCAAGGCUUGCGUACGGCAAUGUCUUUGAAAUAGAAUUUUGUCAUUACUUUGUGUUUGUAGUUUGAUUGACGUAAGUUUCACUAGGAUUCAACGAUCUAAGUCAAGAUCCCAGCAUCGGAAAACUUGACUUCUGGCGAAUGUCAUUCUAGUUCUCUUAGGAAGAUAGGAUUUGGCAUAAUUCGUAGGAAGAAUGAUUUAUGUGUGUUUGAUUGAUAUGCAAAUGCAUGUAUAUAUAGUAAUAAUAUACCUGUUUGCAACAUGUAUGAAUUUGGGGGACGACUGUUCAAUAAAGGAGUGUGUGGCUUCAUCUUUUCCUCAUACCUUUUUAGACAUUCUCGGACUUCAUCCGGAAGAAUGAGUAUGUUGAAAAUAAAAAAGAUUAAACUAAAUCCAAAAUUAGUUUAAUAAAUUAAUUAUUGAAUUUAAUAUUUAAUUAAAGUCUGAGGCCCAUCUUAUCACACCUGAUCAAAGUCCAAGGUCCAAGCCUAAUUUUGUUCUCCAUGGUCAUCUUUCAAAUCGGUUUGUAAAAUGAACUUGAUGUUAUAAGACGUAUGAAACUUUCCAACUUGAUCAAUGUGGGACAAAUAAGAUUGAUGAAAGGAAAUUUCCACUAAAAAACUCAAACAUAUAGGAACGAAGCACUGCUUGCUUCGAUUUUUGCUAGAUAUAUGGGUUUUACUCACUUUGGAUUGGAUUGUCAGCCAACGUGUUAAGUCAGCUUUCGCCUUUCCGCGAGUUAAAAGCGAUGAAAGUUGUCUGUCAUUUUCAGGCAAAAACUUUCAAGUGCUAUGUGUUUCUUAAUACCUCUGGCUGUUGGGGGCUCCUUAAAUCUUGUUCCUCGUACAUUUGGUCCCUACCUAAGUUCAACAACCUCUCUUCUCUUUGAAAUCUCAGUGCCUCCUUCGCUUCCAAGGCUCUCUUCCCAUCGAUCCUAUCAGGGUUCUGUUCAUUUUCUCAAUUGUCCCGUUUGGUUCGUGCACUUGGAUUCGUUUCAAUUGUCUUUCUAUUUUUUUCAUAGGAGUUUCUUGGAUUGCAAGAUGAUAGGUGCAUUAUUUAUCAUAUUUUCAUAUAAAUUAUCCUAAGUUUUGUUAAGGAAUUGAUUAUAAAAGAGCCUUAUUACUUUCCUUUUCUCAGUUUCAGCCAAUCUGUGCACUUAGUACGUGUUUGGUGAUAAUUCGACUUUCCAGAGGAGUUUUGAUGCAAGGCCAAUUGGAGAAGGAAGCUAAGAGGUUGAAGAUCGUUGUAUCCGAAUUUGAUAAUUUUCCAUGAAGCCAUUCAUUCCAGUUUCACAAAUCAAUCACGCAGAAGUUGUUUUCCCGUCAGAACUGCGCAGCUGUGGGAGAAUGAAGAUUUGGAGGCUUUCCCGAUUUUUCCUAGUGGAGUGCGAUAUAUGCCUGGAAAGAUAAGAGAUAAAGCUACGUUUCCCAUAUUUUUACAGGUUUUUCCAGAAGAUAAAUCAACCCCAAAACUGGCGUGCAAGAAAGAUUCCGUGUUUCCCAAGUCAAGAAGGAUUCUUUCCUAGUUUGUGUCAUUAAUUGUUUAGGAGUUUGUUUUAUUUUAGGAGACUUUCUCCCAGACCUCUUUUUUUUUUUUUUUUGUUACCCUCCACCACCCACACAAAUACAAACACAAACCUUUUAAGGUUAUUCUAGUAUAAAUAAGGUCCCUAAUCUCUCUCUAAGGAUCCAUCACCCCCCGCAUCCCUUAUAUCACCCACACUAUACACCAUUCACCAUCUCCGCAAUUUGUGAAGAAGAGCUUCGGGAAGUGCUUUGCCAUGGAUUCCGGGUUCUAUGUCUCUUUUAUUUUUAUUUCUAUGUGUAACUAAGUUAUUUUCUAAGCUUUAUGAUGAAGCCAUGACAUUGCGAAGUACUUUGUUAAUUAUUAUCUAAUUAUAUGCCAUGUUAUAUUCUAAAUCUUUGUGGGUAUUUUAUUCUAGGUUCGAGUUUCUAAUGACUGAUCACCUUUAGGAAUUUUGCAUCUAGAUAGUUAGAUAAAUCUAUGAGGAUGACCAAUAUCAAUUUGGUUUAUUGGAACUAAGAUUAAGAAGAGUAGACAAACUAGUGAGGAUGACCAAUAUCAAGCUAGUCCUACUUGGUUGAUAUGAUUCUUCUAUAUGCUUAAUGGGGGUUUAAGUGUUUAAUUGUAUGCCUAUCCAAUAGGAUAUAAUUAUCUUGUAGAGAUACAAGAGUUUAUGCCUGACCACGGAUUAAUCCAUACCUUAGAAAGAACAACCUGUAAUAUUGGCAUGGUAAUUGGAUAAUAGUUGGCUUUUAGAAAAGUAAAUAGGAUUGUUGUUGGUGGAUUCAUAACCUUAGGUUUACUUGUGUUUUAGUUAAUUGUCUUUUAAUUUUCUAGUUAAUUUUAGUUUUAAUCAAUUACUCAAUUAUUCAACUCAAUCUAUCCUUUGUUUGUUUAAUUAAGUCUAGCGUGAUUAAUCGGUUAAAUUGGUGUUAAAGCAAUCAUGUGGGAUCAACCUCGUAUUUGCAUAUAUUACUAUAAGUCUACAAUUGAUUCAUGUGAUUGCGAGUUUAAUUUGGUUUAAAUGAAUCUAUUAUUUAGGUUAGUUUAAAUAUACAUCACAAGACAAUAGAGCAAUUCGUUCAAGCUCAAUUUGUAAGAAGGCACAGUUUGUUGUAAAUCCAGUACCGAAAAAACCUCGACUUUCCAGCAAUUUUUAGUUUGUUCAUUUCUGUAUACACUUAUAUAACACGGCCUUUGUCAUAGUUCUUGUUCCACAGAUGAGCUUGGACUUAAGGAUCCAAAACACAGAAACACAGUUGCAAUAGUUUUUGAUAAUUCGAAGAAACUGACCAAAUGAAAGACAUAAAUUUUGCUCUUGUAUAUAUGAAUAACAAAACUAAAAUUGAAAUACAAAUUCAAUUUUGAAAAACUUGAGCAUUAACCAACACUAAAAUAAAAUAAAAUCAAAUCAAACUUUGCAGUUAAAAUCUCCACACCAUCAAAUUCUCAGUAACUCAGAUGAAUGAUGAUCCCGAGCAAAGUUUCAACCCCAUAUGUGAAGAAUUAGAUAAUUGUGUAUAUGAAUUCAUUCACUUUACAAUAGAUCAAUACGAGGGUAUUUAUACAAUACAAUGAUCAAUUAAGAUCCUACAAUCAUGCCUACAUAAGUUGUUCCUUAUUCUACACAUCCAUAUAGAGGGAAAGUAAUCAAUCUAGGUGAUUGAUAUCAUAUUACAUCAAAUUAGCCCUAACAGGCUUUACUUUCCUCAACACUCCCCCUCAAGUUGGAAUGUAUGUUGAUGAUUCCCAACUUGCCAAGUAAAGCCAUGAACUGGGGAAGACCCAAUGGCUUAGUGAAGAUAUAUGUUGGCUGCUAUGAGGUCCGUAUGUGAGCUGUCUUGAUUAUUCCACCUUGAAUCUUCUCUCAAAUCAAGUGGCAGUCAAUCUCUAUGUGUUUAGUUAUCUCGUGGUACAUUGGAUUUGAAGCAAUGUGAAGUGCCGCUUGGUUGUCACAGAAUAACCUAAUAGGGUUUGAAUGUGAGAUGCCCAAGUCUCUCAAAAUGUAUUUUAGCCAAGUGAUCUCGCAACAUGUUGUAGCCAUAGAUCGGUAUUCAGCUUCAGCGCUUAAUCGCGACCUAUUGGUCUGCUUCUUGGUUUUCCAAGACACAAGUGACUCUCCAAGGAAGAUACAAUAUCCAGUGGUGGAGCGACGAGUAUCACGACAUCGAGCCCAAUCCGUAUCACAAAAUACCUUUAAUUGAAUGGAGUCGGAUGCAGGGAGAAAAAUGCCUUGUCCCGGUGUGUAUUUGACAUAUCGUAAUACUCGAUAAGCUGCUUCUAAAUGCGGAGUUCGUGGUUUAUCCAUAAAUUGACUUAAAAUGUGGACAGUAUAAACCAAGUUUGGUUGUGUGACGGUCAAGUAGAUUAACCUACCAACGAGCCUUCAAUAAGAAGAAGGAUCAUUGAUGUAGUCACCAUCAUCUUUGCUUAAGGAUAAAUUAUGCUCCAUGGUGGAAAACGCUGGUUUCACUCCAAGAUAACCAGCAUCCUUAAGUAUCUCAAGAGCAUACUUUUGUUGUGAAAGUGUGAUGCCCUUGGUGGAACAAGCAAUCUCGAUGCCAAGGAAGUACUUCAAUUGACCAAAAUCUUUCAAUUUGAAUUUUUACAUAAGAAAGAACUUUGUAUCUUCAAUGUCCUGUAGAUUAUUCCCUGCCAAAAUGAUAUCAUCUACAUAAACAAGAAGAGCAGCAAAUUUUCGGCUUGGUUUCGGAAGAACAAUGAAUAAUCUGCCUUGGAUUGACUGUACCCAGCUUGCUUAAGAGCUAACAAGAGUUUAAGAAACCACUGAUGGGAAGCUUGUUUGAGGCCGUACAGCGAUUUAUGGAGCUUACAAACUCGUGUCUCCCCCUUUCGACCGAAACCAGGAGGUAAAGACAUGUAAACAUCUUCAUGAAGAUCUCCAUGAAGAAAGGCAUUGUUAACGUCAAGUUGAUAGAGAUGUCAAUGGUGGAGAGAAGCAACAACAAGGAGGAGACGGACAGUAGCAUGUUUGGUGACCGAGGUGAAAGUUUCGCGAUAAUCUAAGCCCUCAAUCUGACUGUAGCCUUUAGUAACCAACUGUGCUUUAUACCGUUCAAUGGAUCCAUCAGAGUUGAACUUGAUUUUGUAUACCCACUUAAAACUGACUGGUUUCUUGCUAAGAGUUAAAGGUUGAAGGGACCAAGUGUCGUUGGCUUCAAGGGCAGCCAAUUCAUGUUCCAUGGCAAGGCGCCACUUGGGGUCAGAAGUAGCUUGGGCAAAGGAAUGAUGCUCAGUCGUAACUGAAAUAGAAGUGGUGAAAGCACGAUGCGUGGGCGACAAACGAUCAUAUGAGAGAACAGUAGAUAAGGGAUGAGAGGUACCUCCAGUGUCAGGCAACGCCGAGUUAGAUGAUGGGAGAAAUCGAGAAAAGAGUGUGGCAUCGAUGUGAUACUGCUGAAGAUAGAGAGGUGGAUGGGUGGUACGUGUGAGCCGUGGAGGAGGAACCAAAGCAAGAGAAUGGUCAGGGGUUGUACAUAUGGCAUGGGGCGCAGGCAUGAGAUAUGGUGCAUGGGUCUUAUGCAUGGAAGAAGAUAUAGAAGGGUCAGUGGAAGAGGUAGGCAUAAGAUCAUUAAAAACAGGCUUUUGAGCGUGGGGCAGCACAAGGGGAGAAUCUGCAGUGGAAUAGGGGAAAGGGAAUGCUGUCUCAUGAAACAAGACAUCACGAGAGAUGAAGAUUUUCCCCGUAGUGAGAUCAUAUAGCCGAUAACCUUUGGUUCCGUAUGGAUAACCGAGGAAAAUACAGCGCGUAGCCCGUGCAUCAAAUUUGGUAGGACGGUGAUGAUGGGAAGAGGCAAAACAUAAGCACCCAAAGACCCUGAGAUGAUCAUAGGUGGGUGGUUUGUGAAAGAGCAGUUCAUAGGGCGUUUUCCCCUUAAGGACUGAGGUGGGAGUACGAUUAAUAAGAUAUGUGGCGGUUAAAAUGGCAUCACCCCAAAACUUCUUAGGAAGAUUGGCUUGAAACAAUAGGGUUCAGGCUACAUUAAGGAGAUGACGAUGUUUUUGCUUGGCUACGCCAUUUUGCUGUAGGGUAGAAACACAACUAGUCUGAUGGAAGAUCCAUUUAUCUGAGAAAAUUUGUGUCAUCAUAAAUUUUGGUCCAUUGUCACUGCGAAUGGUUUUAAUCUUGGAAGAAAAUUGGUUUUCAACAAGGUUGAUGUAGGUAGUAAGGUAUUAACGAGCAUCAGACUUAUGGUGCAUAAGGUAGACCCAAGUGCAUCAUGAAUAGUCAUCAAUUAUGGUUAAAAAUAUUGUGCCCUAGUAAUGGUAGGAACAUGAUAACGUCCCCAAAUAUCAACAUGAAUUAAUUCAAAAAGGGCAUGUGUAUUAAUUGAACUCAAUGGAAAUGAAACACGGGUCUGUUUAGCUAAUGGACAGAUUGCACAAUCACCAAUAUCAGAAAAUGGCAUGGUUCUAACAAAAUGAGAUAGGGCACGAAGGCUUUUAUUUGAGAGAUGGCCAAGAUGUUGAUGCCAAAGCUGAGGGGAAGUUAUGGUGACGGCUGAAACGGAAUGGCUGCCAAGUAUCUUCACAGUAUCAAGAUAAUAAAGUCUUUCUCGCUCAGUUCCCGUCCUAAUCAUCCUUCCCGAUCGUUGGUCCUGAAGCAUAAUAUGGCAAAGCACGAAGAGGUUUUAGCAAGUUUGCUAACAGAUAUCAAAUUCAAUCUGAAUAAUGGAACACAAAGCAUAUUAUGUAAAACAAGAUCAUUCGAGAAACAAAUGGUGCCAACGUGAGGCACAUCGGCAAGAGCAUGGUUGGGAAGAUGCACUUGUCGACUCGUAAUGGGUUUACUGCUGGUCAUCAAGUGGGACGAGCAAACAAUAUGGUCUAUGGCUCCAGUGUCAAAGAUCCAACUUGUGUCUCCACUAAAAAAGGAAGCACAUAAAUUUUUACCUGAUAGAUCAUUCAUGCUGAACACGGAAGUGACAUGAUUGGCCAGGUGGUUGGACUUGUUCUUGUCGAUGAGAGCAAGGAGAUGAUGAUAUUGUUCCGCAGUGAGGCUAUACGAAGGAGAAGGCGCUGCUAAACUUGCCGGACUAAAAUCAACAUGGUUCUUCUUCGAAACAAAUCCACUUCGAUCUUGAUAAUCAACCUUGUCAUUGGAGGAAUUCAUCAUCUUCAGCUUGCGACAGUAGUCAAUAGUGUGGCCUUUCAACCCACAAUAGUCACACUUAAGAUGUGCCCGGCAUGUCUCUGAGGUGUGCCAUACAACAUUGCAGCGAUCACAAUGAAAAUGGAGAUUCUUGGGUGUGAAGUGAAGGGAAAUAAUGAGAUUUAUAUGGGAUUUCUAGUGACUAACAUGCAUAUACAAUUCAAAAUCUAUAUACAUUAGCAAUGGAAGCAUUUUAUCACAUAAUAUCAAAGCUAUAGUCAUGCAAAUCCCCUUCAAGAAGCAUAGGUUUAUGUGAGAUGCAUCAAAACAUUUUAUUGAAGAACAAAGUGAAGGUGUAGUUUUAUAUCUCUUGAUCUUGACUUGAGACCAAGGAUUGACCACCUCCAAGCUCUUUGUUCUUGGAACUCCUUGAGCCUAACCUCCCUCCUUGCUUCCUCCACCUUGCUAGAAUAAGUGCUCCUUGGUUCUCCUUUAGUCUCCAAGAUUGAAGACCUCUAAAGAUCCACACCCAUUAGUGUAGUGAGAUGGAUGGAUGAAUGACCAAAACGAGAAAAGAUGAUUAGCUAAAAUCUCCUCUUGAUGGCCGGCCUUGUGAGUUGAGAGAGAGAUUGUGUUUUUCUCUAUUUUGGUGAAAAUAAACUCACAAAAACCCUAAUGAAACUUUUCACUAAAAGUUCCUUUUAUAUCUCAAAGAAAGUUAGCCAACAACUUGACUCCCUCUCUCUCCCUUUCCCUUUAUUUGGCCGGCCCCUUUGUGUUGUUUGGAGUUUUGGGCUUUUAUCAUUUCAAGUCAUCCUAUGCUUGAAUAAAAGGACCCAAGGAGUUUGGGCCCAAUGGGCCCAAAUGAACCCGAACUUUUCUUUAAGCCCAAAACGAUCUUUUAUCGCUUUUAUGAUUUCUUUAGACUUUCUAAUUAAUCACAACACUUAAUUAAUCCAAUUAAUUAUUUCCAUCAUCCAUUAGUUGUCUCACUACAAGAGUGUAUCGGUGUACAAUCAUUUUAGGUUCUAAUUAGCAAGGCAGUGAGGUGAUUGGCACCAAUCCAAUUGAUUAUAUUUAAUCCAAUCACUUAGUGAAUUAAAACUUACUUUUAAUUCUCCUUCUUCUUUGACGACUACUUAUUUAAUCAUGUAGAAGAAUUCACAAGCCAUGAGUGACAUCUAACCAUAUAUCAUGACUACCCAAGCUAAUGUAGAAUUUGUUCGGAGAACCUAUUCAGUUGGAAUUACAAUGUAAUUCGAUCCUUCUCUAAAACAAUACUCUCAAUCACAUUAUUAGGGUAUGGAUAUAUUAUUUCAAACCCCUAAUGUGAUUAUUCCAUGUUAUAUGAUUCAAUUGAGUCGUAUAGGAACGCUUUCCUUUAUUACGCUCGAUACUUCGGCCGAAGAUUCCCGAAUCAUAUCUUAGAGUAUUCAUCCUCUCAUAACGAGGAUUAGAGAUCCCUUGUUGAUCAUCCACAUGCCUCUGAGAAUAAAUCACUGACCCCAACAAUGCAUAGAACACACCCAAGAUGAGGUGUGGUCACGUCUCAUUAUCAAAAUGAUCAGCAACGUAUCCCCAAGACAACUAUGAUGUCUCAGGUCAAAGGAUUACUUACAUUAUUCCAACCAUUAGAGUUACUUGCUUGACAUGUGUGUAGACCUCCAUGCAAGUACUCUUGUUCGAUUGUAUUCAGUGAACUCAUUCCCUUAAUGAGCACCUACAUACAUGUCUUAGUGUCACUACACGAAUGGGAUGAGACUUUCCAUCCUUCCAAUUAAAGGGGACAUAGUAUGUACUGGUCUAUGCAUUGUCAGUAUCCCUCUGACAAUCCUAUGACCAGGAACCUUUUUGGACAUGAUGGUUAUGUGAAGAAGGUCUCUGUAGUCUAACAUCAUUAGAUUACUUCUUCCAUCGAUCCAUUGUCCAUGGAUUCACUAUUUAGGACAUAUAUCGUUUAUUGAGAUAGUCUUAAUUAGUAUCUUUGCCUUUUGAUGUAUAAGAGUCAUCUAUACACACAUUCAUUAUCCUGAAAGGUUUCUUCCAAAGAUUGACUUUCAGGGCAUAUCUCCAACAAUCUCCCACUUGCACUAAAGUCAAUCACUAGUGUAUCUUAUAGAUGCUAGUCGAGUGAACUUAUGCUCAUAGGUAAACUUGGUUAUGUAUUAAUCCUUUUAAUUUAAAAGGGAUUUACUUAUCAAAUGUUUCUAAAAUAUUUGACGAUGUCUCUUUCUUGUGUUCAAAUACUUUGAUGAGACCUUGAUUCCAUGGCUUGAGCUAUCGCCCCAUUACGUCGUAGUGUCCUACUAACAACCUUAUGGUUUGGAUUCAAUCAUUGGUUCUAUAAGAACCCCUUCUAUUCAAAACACCUUUUGAAGCAGUUUCUAAAACUAUAUAUAUCGACAUAUAUUUCAUUUGUAUACUUUAUAUAUACUUUGCUCCAACCUUGAGACCAUUGUAGUACAAUACUAACAAUACAUUCAUAUGAUUAGUACUUCAUCCAUUAUGAAGUUCCAUUUGUUAAAAUGGGUUAUUUUCACUUUGGUUUAUAACCUAAGUGAAUGCACGCUUCCAGAGUCCGACUCUGAUGUUCCUUUCUUAAAGGCAAUAAUACUCUAUCAAUUGUUACGGUUCUGAUCCUAGGCUAUAGUAAUAUCUUAAAGUGACAACCCCAAUGGUUUUUCACCUUUGUAUAUCAUCUCACAAGUCCAUACAUGUGUCCCUUUUGUGAUUUUGUGACACAUUCAUUAUAAGGGUCACGAAAGUGAUUUUCUAUCAUAUAGGAAAAUACUUUCUCAAAUCUUCAACAUUUGAGAUUUAAUUUCCCCAUAUAACAUCCUUGAGAUAGCCUUUCUAUAUCAUUAAGUCCAAUUUCAAGUCUAUACUUCAAAAUUGACCGUGUCACGUUUUGUCAUUUUUAAGUAACAUUUAUGUUUUAUCAAGUCUAUCAAAUAGACUUUAUUCAUAUCUUGUUGCUCAAAUUAUGACAUCACUCCCACUGGCCUUGUUGUAACUUAGCAUUUAUUCAAAAACUUAACACUUAUAUUUUCUCGAUUUGAAUGCAUAUUGCUCCCACUAACUUGUCUUGGAUCUAUUGACAAUCAUUGAGAUCCAUUAGCUUAUUGAUGAUGUCUCAACAAUUUUGGGACUAUCAACAACUCUAGCUAACACAAGUUAUUUAAACGAACAUACACAAAAGAAUUCCUUCUCAAGUAAUUCCAUUUGAAAUGUGUGACUUGCCUUAUCAAGUCCAUUCAUUUAAAUUAUAUGGUGUCAUACACCAUACUUCAAGUUUUAGUCAUACUAAGACCUUUAAUGUAGUCAUAUAAGAAUUAUCCAAGUCAUUAGUGGAAGCAUGGCUCUUACUAAGGAUAUAGAAACUCAACCAUACCUUCUAGGUGAUUGAUAUAAUUCUUUAUCAAAACUACAUAGAGCGUUAUAGUUACAUGAGGUGCUGAAUUUGGAUUGUCUUGUUGUUAAACCAUAUGUUGUGACUCAUUUUGAAACUAUUCCCUUUUGUUUCAUUAAUUUGUCCAUAUGCUUUGUUAUUAGCUUGUUCUCAUAAAAGAGAAUGAUGGACAACUCCCAACAUAUAACCAUUUUAUGCUAGGUUGACGAAACCAACAUUCAUAGACUAUUCUUUAGAAUGUUACACAACAUAGAAUUUCAACGUUUUGAAGAGCUUGAGUCCUUUAACAAUUAAAAUUACAAACUCAUAAUAAUAGUGAUGUACUAUUUUCUUUAGACAACUACAAACCAAUCAUAUUCAAGUUUAUAUCCUUUUUCUCACCUCCCACUAUUUCUCAUGACUUUAAUGAGAAACUACAUUAUACAUUCAAAAUGUAUAAACGUGGAGUAUACGAGUAGAGGACAAUGUGGAGUAGCUUUAAAACCUUUCAAGCUUAUUUGUUUCAAUCUCCACUAAGUUGAUGUCUUGUUAUUAAGUGACUAAAGUCUUUAAACAUUUCAUAGAUUUAGACACUUCGUUCUUGGUUUAAUCACUAACACACUUGACAUUUUAAAACAAUUUUAAGAAUGCCCAAUUAGUUGUUCAAAACUACUAAUUGAAUCAAGAGUGAUCUUGGUUAUUGUGGUUAAGUAAGUGAUAACCAUAUAAGAAACGUUUUCUUAUUACUUAUAUCGUUAUAAUGUGAUCUUCCUUUUCUUCAAGAAAGGAAUCUCUAGACCUUUUUCAAUUCAUAUAGAACUCACAUGUAGGCAAUUGGAACCAAAUCUAAAGAUUCAUUGUAUCCAUCUAUGGCCAACACGUGAGAUCUAUCCAUAAUUGAUAAGUCCAAAGUUUGGAUAUCGCAUUACAUAAGUGAUAUAAAUCUUGUAUCUCAACUAGGAUACAACAAGACAAUAUUCAAUUCAUAACACUACUUUGAGGAAAUAAUAUAGUAGAAGGCAUUCAUCACAUUACAUUGAUAUGAUAAUUCAAACAUUCAUAAUGUUCAAUACAAAAGGAAUUAGCUCUAUACAUUUAGAGACUAAUUAUAUACCUUCAUAUAGGCACCAAUAGUGGUCUUCCAUCAUAUGAAGCCACAUAAUAAGUUCUUAACAAAAUAAGAAAGUUUAAAGACUAUCUUUAAGUGCCUAACAAACUUCCUAAGUAGUUAGCAAAAAAUGGUGGCCGAACCCUUCUCCAUCCUUUUCCUUGCUUGUUCAUCUUCUACUUGGCUCAUCCACCUUAUACAAUUGCAUAAGUGAUUAGCUCUUUAUAUCAAAUAUAAAUAUUUAGAAGAUCUAACAAUUAGAAUUGAAGAUCUAACAAUUAGAAUUGAAGAUAAGAACAUAAACCAUACCUUGUGGUUUGUCCUUAAGAGUUGCAAGGUAUAACCUGCAAUUCCUCUUCCAAUGCCCGUCCUUUCCACAGUGGUGGCAAGUCCCCUUGGGCUAUUUUGCCUUCUUUUUCCUCACUCCUCCUUGCGGCUUAGGAGUGGGUGACUUCUUCUCCUUCCCUUUGUCUUUGCCUUGCGGCUUAGCCUUGGAAGUGGAUGGCUUGUUGUAGGCUACUGCAGCAGUCCCCACAACGUUCUCUUUCUUCAUAGUCUUCUCGGCAGUUACUAACAUGUUUAGUAACUCAGAGAGAGUAUUAUCCAUCUUGUUCAUAUUGUAGUUCAUAACGAACUGCGAGAACGAGUCAGAAAAAAAAAGCCAAGAUGAACUCCUGGGCCAAUUCCCCGUCAAAUGGAGUGUCUAGGCUCUCCAAUUGUUCGAUGAGUCGAAUCAUCUUCAGUACAUGUUGAUGCACUGGAGCUCCCUUGACUAUCUUGGUCUUCACAAGUUCACUAACAGUGCUAAAGCGAUGGUUGCGCAUCCUUUCACCAUAUAACUCCGUAAGAUGGAGUAUGAUGGAAGAUGCACUAUCCAUACCCUUGUGCUGUCUCUGCAACUCCUCAUUCAUGGAAGCCAACAAAUAGCAUUUGGCUUGUGUAUCAUCCUCAACGUGCUUGUCAUACUUAGCACGUUCAUCCUCAGUGGCCUCAGGGCCAAGAGGUAUGUGAGGUGGAGCCUUAUCUAGUACGUAAACAAUCUUCUCCAAGGUUAGGAGAAUCUUGACAUUACGAUACCAUGAUGGGAAAUUGUGCCCCUCUAGGCAAUGUUUGUCGAGUAUUUUCGCGAGUGUGCUUCCAACCAUAGCUAAAUACAUAACAAUAAAAUAAAUUAGUUUGAUUGUUGAUAAACGAUUCGGGUCUUUAAACCGAAUGACACCACCCACUAGUUUUGGCAAAUUCCAUAUCCCUCAAGAUGUAAUCCGGGAGAUUUCAAUGAAAGCUCCUAGCGGGUUAUUGGAGGCUCACUAUUACCAAGCCCACCUCACGAUGAUACGAUGUUGGCUAGCAAAAAUAAUAAUGAGAGGGUAUGACUACCCAUUCACAACAACCUCUUGUGAUUACCCAUCUUAUUGGCCUCUAGAGAACAAUGCCUCACAAUGAUAUGAUGUUGGCACCAUUUCUCUUAGUUAAGUUCUGACCCACCAUGCCAGUUUAGAUAGGGGUCCAAGUACGACCUCACGAUGAUACAAUGUUGGCCACAUUCGUUGCCUACCUUCACCACAUCAAAUGUUUGAAAUAGACUCCUCCUGAGUAUAAGCACAUACUUUGAACUCCCCCAUGAUAGGGUGAAGACGGUGUAUGAGUCAUAAACGAUUGGAGCCUACCAUGGUGGAAGGCCACGAAGAAGUGUUCAAAGCACCUCUCUGCUUUCAACUUAAUAUUGGAUGUUGGUUGAGGGAUUUUAAGGUCUCAUCAUUUUUUAUUUAUUUAAUCAUAUUCAAAUAAAUUGUGUCCUAUUAUAACUACUAGUCCAAAGUUAAUGAAAUUAGUAGCAUAUGAUAUCCCCACUAUUCGUUUUCAUAAAACAAAUCAAUAUCAAAACAUUUUCAAAAUAUUGGAGAUAUAUAUAACUACUAAUUGUGUUCAUUAUAGUUUAGUAGCGUAUGAUACUCCCACUAUUUGUUUUGAGAAAAACAAAUCAAUAUCAAAAACGAAUUUUUCAAAUAUUGGAAGUAACUACUACUACUAUGGUUUUUGCAUUCCUUUGAAAUUGGACUUUAUAGUUAUCUUAGGCUCUUUGGAUGACCAUGGACUUAUUGGGUUAAUCAAUCAACGAGCCAACAUUGUUGAAUAAGAUCUAGGGAAGGUUGUAUCGUUUUAAUUACGUGCUUUCAAUCCAAUUAAAACAUUUUUUCAUUGAGCCAUUAGAAAUGAAAGACAAUCAUUCAUUGCUAAUUAGGGCGUUGGACCCAAUUAAUCUUUAAUCUCACGUCAAAACCCUCUUUUAAUCAUGUCUCCUUACCAAUAGUUAAAGAAACUCUAGUCUAGUACUAGAGGGAAUCAACUAAUUGAAAGAGAUUAAGAAGUAAUAAGAAUUACAAACCGAUUUGUACAAAUUACAUAUACUAAGAGGGAGAGAAAGAUUAAUGUCUAUCAUGACAAGGUCCAAUUGAAAUAGUAAUUAAAACACAUUCCCAAGGUUCAAACAAUUUGAGUUUAGUGCCCUUUCUCAUAGCUCAAUUAUCGUUUAAGGCAUAAGUCCAUAGUCAACCAUUUUCUAACUACUUAAUCACAUUAAAUAAUUAAUUGGAAUGCAACAUAAACAAUUAGAUUUAGUGCAUAUGGGCAUAAUUGUAUGCUGAGUUUAAACAACUAACAAAAUUAAAAUCAAAAUAUUUUAACUUUUUAGAGAGAUGGGGUCUAAAUGCAAAUAUAAAAAGUUAUGGGUCAAACCGUAAAUACUAGAAAGUAUAAUCAACCUUUUUAAAUUACAAAAUAGCCCUACAAGUGGCCAAUCCACUAGGGUGGCCGGCCAAGUUAAGGGGGGGAUGGGAGGUUUCAAACAUUUUGCUUUAAUUCAAAUUAAAGUAGAAAAACCCAUGCUUUUAUUGCCACUUGACAUGCUUUAUGUACUUUAGUGUAAAGGUGAUGGAAAUUCUCCUAGUCAAGUCUAGGAUUGCUUAAAUUUUGGGAAAGUUAUGGACGGUAAGUUUAUCAUCCAAAAACAUAAAACAAUUUGUGAACACAAAACAAAACCAUUUACACCAAAAAUAAAACCAUGAACACCAAGAACAAAACCAUGAAAACAAUUUCAAGAUUUGUACUUUCUUGGUGAUUUUUCAAACCCAAAAACAAAAGUGACAAGGUCUAGAUUUUCUAGCUUAAAAAAAAUGUGUGAGUGACUUACAAUAAAACACAAACACAAGCCAAAAAAUCCCCCCAAAACUGUGCAAACCCUAUGGAACAAAAAACCCCAAAUUUUGUUCAAAACUCAAUCUUCAUUCUUGUAUCCAAAACACUUUUUGCAUACAUAUCUUUUUCAACUCUUGAUACACAUUUUUCAACAUUUGAAAAACAAAAGAUAAACAUAUUUUGAAUGAAGAAAUAAUAUGUCAAACAUAAAAUUAAAAAACCAUAUGCAUAAAAUUCAAAAGGACACAUCAAAUAUAAACCUUUGGCUCUUGAUACCACUUGAAGGGAAAUAAUGAGAUUUAUAUGGGAUUUCUAGUGACUAACAUGCAUAUACAAUUCAAAAUCUAUAUACACUAGCAACGGAAGCAUUUUAUCACAUAAUAUCAAACCUAUAGUCAUGCAAAUCCCCUUCAAGAAGCAUAAGUUUAUGUGAGAUGCAUCAAAACAUUUUAUUGAAGAACAAAGUGAAGGUGUAGUUUUAUACCUCUUGAUCUUGACUUGAGACCAAGGAUUGACCACCUCCAAGCUCUUUGUUCUUGGAACUCCUUGAGCCUAGCCUCCCUCCUUGCUUCCUCUACCUUGCUAGAAUGAGUGCUCCUUGGUUCUCCUUUAGUCUCCAAGAUUGAAGACCUCUAAAGAUCCACACCCACUAGUGUAGUGAGAUGGAUGGAGGAAUGACCAAAACGAGAAAAGAUGAUUAGCUAAAAUCUCCUCUUGGUGGCCGGCCUUAUGAGUAGAGAGAGAGAUUGUGUUUUUCUCUAUUUUGGUGAAAAUAAACUCACAAAAACCCUAAUGAAACUUUUCACUAAAAGUUCCUUUUAUAUCUCAAAGAAAGUUAGCCAACAACUUGACUCCCUCUCUCUCCCUUUCCCUUUAUUUGGCUGGCCCCUUUGUGUUGUUUGGGCUUUUGGGCUUUUAUCAUUUCAAGUCAUCCAAUGCUUUAAUAAAGGACCCAAUGGCUUUGGGCCCAAUGGGCCCAAAUGAACCCGAACUUUUCUUUAAGCCCAAAACGAUCUUUUAUCGCUUUUAUGAUUUCUUUAGACUUUCUAAUUAAUCACAACACUUAAUUAAUCCAAUUAAUUAUUUCCAUCAUCCAUUAGUUGUCUCACUACAAGAGUGUAUCGGUGUACAAUCAUUUUAGGUUCUAAUUAGCAAAGCAGUGAGGUGAUUAGCACCAAUCCAAUUGAUUAUAUUUAAUCCAAUCACUUAGUGAAUUAAAACUUUCUUUUAAUUCUCCUUCUUCUUUGACGACUACUUAUUUAAUCAUGUAGAAGAACUCACAAGCCAUGAGUGACAUCUAACCAUAUAUCAUGGCUACCCAAGCUAAUGGAGAAUUUGUUCGGAGAACCUAUUCAGUUGGAAUUACAAUGUAAUUCGAUCCUUAUCUAAAACAAUACUCUCAAUCACAUUAUUAGGGUAGGGAUAUAUUAUGUCAAACCCCUAAUGUGAUUAUUCCAUGUUAUAUGAUUCAAUUGAGUCGUAUAGGAACGCUUUCCUUUAUUACGCUCGAUACUUCGGCCGAAGAUUCCCGAAUCAUAUCUUAGAGUAUUCAUCCUCUCAUAACGAGGAUUAGAGAUCCCUUGUUGAUCAUUCACAUGCCUCUGAGAAUAAAUCACUGACCCCAACAAUGCAUAGAACACACCCAAGAUGAGGUGUGGUCACGUCUCAUUAUCAAAAUGAUCAGCAACGUAUCCCCAAGACAACUAUGAUGUCUCAGGUCAAAGGAUUACUUACAUUAUUCCAACCAUUAAAGUUACUUGCUUGACAUGUGAGUAGACCUCCAUGCAAGUACUCUCGUUCGAUUGUAUUCACUGAACUCAUUCCUUUAAUGAGCACCUACAUACCUGUCUUAGUGUCACUACACGAAUGGGAUGAGACUUUCCAUCUUUUCAAUUGAAGGGGACAUAGUAUGUACUGGUCUAUGCAUUGUCAAUAUCCCUCUGACAAUCCUAUGACCAGGAACCUUUUUGGACAUGAUGGUUAUGUGAAGAAGGUCUCUGUAGUCUAACAUCAUUAGAUUACUUCUUCCAUCGAUCUAUUGUCCAUGGAUUCACUAUUUAGGACAUAUAUCGUUUAUUGAGAUAGUCUUAAUUAGUAUCUUUGCCUUUUGAUGUAUAAGAGUCAUCUAUACACACAUUCAUUGUCCUGAAAGGUUUCUUCCAAAGAUUGACUUUCAGGGCAUAUCUCCAACAUGAAGUUCCUAUUAGAAUUCUUCGAAUUACCUCGUACUGCAAAAGCUGCUGCAUCGAUGAUGGAGGCUUUGCUAGAUGUGUGAUUUGAAAUUGCUCUUUGUUUCUCAUCUUGUAUGAUAAGUGAGUAGGCUUUGUUAACGGCAAGAAGAGGAUCCAUAAGUAAGAUUUGCCCUCUAACUGCUACGUUAGCAUCAUUAAGCCCCAUCAGAAACUUCAUGGUCUUUUGAUUUUGUUGAAACUGCAACACUUCUUUUACAGUGCCACAUGUACAAUUUGGAAUAGAGCACAAUGCAUCGCGCUCAUCCCAGAGACCUUUCAAUUUGGUAUAGUAAGCACCAAUAUUCAUAUUGCCUUGAACGCAGCCAUGUAUCUCUUGUUCAAUAUGAAAGAGAUGUACGUUGUUCACAUGUGAAAAACGACGUUCCUUCAAAUCAUCCCAUAUAUCAUGAGCAAUGUCAUUGUAAAUCACACUUGCCCUAAUAUCUUGGGAGACCGAGUUGAGAAGCCAUGACUUGACAAGAUUAUUACAGCGUGUCCACCGUUGAAGUUCUGCGGCAGAAGUUCCUCUUGGCCUUUUGAUGGUCCCAUCAAUAAAACCUUUCUUAUUUUUAGCACUGAGAGCCAUAAUCAUGGCACGACUCCAGGUUGGAUAGUUUUCUUCAUUUAGUUGUUGAGUAACUAAGAUAGCUCCAUGCUGAUCAGAGUGAUGGAGAUAAAGCGGAUCAUUGGGAUCAUCAUACUUGCUCAUCUCAGGCUUGGCUGAGGAUUUGGUUAUGGUGGUAUCUUCGAGCACCAUGGAUGUCGGCGAGAAGAAAUAUGGUUGUUAGGGUUUCUUGUUGUGUUGUAAACGGCAAAGAAAUUGGUUAUCAGAGGCCCAGAAGCUCUAGUACCAUGUAAAGAAUUCGAUAAUUGUAUAUAUGAAUUCAUUCACUUUACAAUAGAUCAAUACGAGGGUAUUUAUACAAUACAAUGAUCAAUUAAGAUCCUACAAUCAUGCCUACAUAAGUUGUUCCUUAUUCUACACAUCCAUAUAGAAGGAAAGUAAUCAAUCUAGGUGAUUGAUAUCAUAUUACAUCAAAUUAGCCCUAACAGGCUUUACUUUCCUCAGCACCAUCAGUGACAUGUUGGCCAGGAGGUAUGAGGGACCUGACUUCAGCAAACACACUUGCACUCUUGAACUUGCCAGUCCCUCCAGUCACAGUCAAGUGUGACAUAGGGCUCCUAAUUUUGAAUAUCCCAUAGAAGUUCAAGGUGUCCCCAUACUCACCUCUUCAAUUAUGGCUGUGAACGCCAUCAUUUGCGUUGACCUGUCAGCCGAGCUGGCAACGUAGACGCCUGGGCCUUUCCGAUCAUCUGCGAGCCCAGAUCAAGUGAUGUCAUCAAAAUAUCAUCGAUGACAGUGAUGGUUCCAAAUCCAGGUUCAAACCGUCUGGACUUAAUGGAGUCUGAGGAGCCUGACCACUUUGUUUUCCAGAGAAUGUUGUACCAACUAAGCCGAUGCCAAGUGGAAUCCCAUUAACGCCGUUGAUGGUUGGAAUGGCUCUAUUAGCAUUAGGAAUGGCUACCCUGUCUUAUGGCGGCAGGAAGCCUAUGGGCCUGGCAAAGGGCACUUGGCCACCGUAGAUGUUGCCAAGUAGACCAGUGAUGGGCCUAGCUGUGGGGCUGCUGCCUCCCAAGAUGUCAUGCAUGUACAUCUCAAGGAUUGGCCCAUGGCCACUGGCUUGGACUAGGUCAACCGCUACCUUGACCACUGAGGCAAUUAGCAAUGUGACCAAAAUGGAAAAAAAGAGACUGGUUGAACAUGUUGAAGAGUUGAAGUGUUUUUUUUUCUUGUAUUUUGAUGGGGUUUUGAGGAUUUUGAAGGAAAAUGGAAAGUGCUUUUGUGAGUGUUGAGUUUGGGAAAUGGCUUCUUCUUUUAUAUAGAAUGAAGAAAUGGGAUUUGUGAGAUGGCGUUGUUUAAACGUGCAUCAUUUUGUUUUGGGACUUUUUGACAGCAAUUAUUUAAGCUAAAAAUUAUAUGCAAAUUAUGCAAUUAGUGGCUGAUAGGAUAGCAGUGGGCGAUGUGUCCACAGUGCAUUGGGUACAACCAAACAAAUUAUCAUAGAAUAAUGAAAGAAAAUUUGACAUUUAUAUAAAAUAAAAUAAAUGACUUGGUUAUGUUGUUUUAAUUUUAUAGGCAUUUGACAAUAUCCUUUUAAGGCACCAUAAAUUUCUUUGUGCAUGUUGUUCGUACAAAAAAACUUAUCCUUUUAAGGCACCAAGGGAUCGAUUUUUGUAACAAUAUUAUUGAUGAUGUUUAUAUUGAUUGCAGUGAUAAUAUGAGUAACACGAUAAAACACUCUGUUAUUGAAAUGUUAGCUACUAAUGUCAUAAAAAAUUUAUCGAGGAUGACAUCGAGGUCGGGCUCUUGAUAGGGCUAUUAUCUUUUAGUUGUUUGACGUUUUUUAGACUCAGCCUCAGGCCUUCCUUAGUUUAUUCAAUCAAAUGAUUAUAGAUAAAUAGGAGGGUGUUCUAAGUUAAAAAAAGUGUGAAAAUCAACUUAAAUACUAAUUCAUAUAGGACUUGUGUUAUGCAACAGUAGUUUCAAGAAAUACAAUUCUCUUUUUAUUGGAAUUGACUGCCGUUAUAGCAAUAUUGGAGUGAGAAUGACUUUGAAGUUUUCCCCAAAAAAAAAAAGGAAUAUUGAUGGCUUAUUCGUCCCCGUGUCUUUGGUGACUUGUUUGAAAAAUAACAGAUACAGAAAGAAUAAUGGCAAUGUAACAAAUGGAGAUUACAUAAUCAAUCAAUCAUGGCACGUCUGAGUUAUCAAUCUCCUGCACAGCCUCUUCACGAUCCAUCACUUUCGACUGCCUCACCGCCGGCGAAAUCAACGUCCAUACUGCAUUAAAAUUUAAUUUAAAAAUCAAGAAAGAUGAUGGUAUGCACAAAAAUAAACCGAUUUACGCGUACAGAAGCAAUCCAACUAAGAAAUCAUAUAUACGGGAUUACUUACACAAUACUGAAGCUGCAAACCAUUCGUUGACGAUUUUUACCCAUGUACUAGUCCAUCCGACAUCGAUGCUCCACCUGAAUGUUUUUCCAGAGUGUUAGUUAACCAUAUCAAUUUCAUACGAAAUGGAGAUCUCCCAAAUAAAGUCAUCUGUGAAUGAUAGAUGAUUCCUUACUUCUUAGCGGAGUUACUGAGGUUCCAACUGAUGAACAAC